UAAACCUGAGUGUAGGAACGGAGGCCUGUGCGUCGCCCCGGGGGCGUGUGAGUGCCUUAAAGGCUACCACGGGGUGACGUGUGAGACAGCUCUGUGCAGUCUGCCCUGUGAGCACGGAGGAAUGUGCGUGGGACCCAGCACCUGCUCCUGUCCCUACGGCUUUGUGGGUCCCAGAUGUGAGACUAUGGUGUGUAACCGCCUCUGUCACAGCGGAGGAGAGUGUGUGUCUCCUGAUGAGUGUGCCUGUCUGUCUGCCUG